UACACUCCUGCGGGAGGCAGCAGUAGGGAAUCUUCCACAAUGGGUGCAAACCUGAUGGAGCAAUGCCGCGUGAGUGAAGAAGGUCUUCGGAUCGUAAAGCUCUGUUGUUAGAGAAGAACACGUGCUAGGUAACUACUAGCGCCUUGACGGUAUCUAACCAGAAAGUCACGGCUAACUACGUGCCAGCAGCCGCGGUAAUACGUAGGUGACAAGCGUUGUCCGGAUUUAUUGGGCGUAAAGGGAGCGCAGGCGGUCUGUUUAGUCUAAUGUGAAAGCCCACGGCUUAACCGUGGAACGGCAUUGGAAACUGACAGACUUGAAUGUAGAAGAGGAAAAUGGAAUUCCAAGUGUAGCGGUGGAAUGCGUAGAUAUUUGGAGGAACACCAGUGGCGAAGGCGAUUUUCUGGUCUAACAUUGACGCUGAGGCUCGAAAGCGUGGGGAGCGAACAGGAUUAGAAACCCCUGUAGUCCC
rnacentral:rRNA from 1 species